AGUGAACGCUGGCGGUAGGCCUAACACAUGCAAGUCGAACGGCAGCACAGUAAGAGCUUGCUCUUACGGGUGGCGAGUGGCGGACGGGUGAGGAAUACAUCGGAAUCUACUUUUUCGUGGGGGAUAACGUAGGGAAACUUACGCUAAUACCGCAUACGACCUACGGGUGAAAGCAGGGGAUCUUCGGACCUUGCGCGAUUGAAUGAGCCGAUGUCGGAUUAGCUAGUUGGCGGGGUAAAGGCCCACCAAGGCGACGAUCCGUAGCUGGUCUGAGAGGAUGAUCAGCCACACGGGAACUGAGACACGGUCCAGACUCCGACGGGAGGCAGCAGUGGGGAAUAUUGGACAAUGGGCGAAAGCCUGAUCCAGCCAUACCGCGUGGGUGAAGAAGGACUUCGGGUUGUAGAGCCCUGUUGUUGGGAAAGAAAAGCAGCAGGUUAAUACCCCGCUGUUCUGACGGUACCCAAAGAAUAAGCACCGGCUAACUUCGUG
rnacentral:rRNA from 1 species